GUGCCCGUAACUCAGUGGUAGAGUGUGAGAUUGCAAUUGCCAGGUUGCCUGGGCCGUUUGCAUAAUCUUGAAGCCCCGUGUUCGACCCACGGCGGGCACU